rnacentral:piRNA from 1 species
UCCACACAGGAACAGACCAGAGAGGAU